rnacentral:tRNA from 1 species
CGCGGGGUGGAGCAGCCUGGUAGAGCAGCCUGGUAGCUCGUCGGGCUCAUAACCCGAAGGUCGUCGGUUCAAAUCCGGCCCCCGCAACCA